UUUAGAAAUCAGUAUUUUACAUGAAACAAACAGUAUUUCUCUCACUUUUCAGUACUAAAUACUGAAAAUCAGUACUAAUUGGCAGCUUUGAAAUAGACUAGGUUCUUAUUUAUGAACACGGUCAACUCUCCAACAUGCCUACCGUUGACUGCCCAAUACCCGGCUGUGACUACUCCACACCAGACCUUGAUGCUGCCCUCUUAACUACCCACAGUACCAUUUACACCUCUGGACAAGCCGCAAAGGUUGAGAAGGUCAAGAGACCAACGAUUGCUGCUGCUGCUGCUGCUGGCACCAGCGAGGAAUGGGCAUACUUCAAGUCACGGUGGUCCGACUAUGUUGAUGCCACUAAGAUCACUGGGAAAGACAAGGUUGUACAGCUUCUUGAGUGUUGUGAUGAGCCCCUACGGAAGGACCACACAUGAGCUGCUGGUGGCAGCCUCACCAACAAAACUGAGGAUGAGGUGCUGUUUACAAAGUUGUGAAGAAAGAAUCAUUCAGAGAAGGAAAGGUUCUAAAAAGUACAGAUGCUAUCAGGGGAGGGGCACAGGCUACUGUGGUAGAUGCUAUAAAAAGGACUAAAUAAGAACCUUGUCUAUUUUUUGCUCUGGGCUAUAAAGCUUAAGAUACUAUGGCAGCUGACAAUGAACAUGGUCCCGGUGCAAAUAAAAGAACGUUUAUACCAAUGAUGCAGUGUGCAUAAUAGUCCCCCAAGUCUUUGGUGUGUAUUGUAGAGAAGACGGCAAUACCGGAACGAAGACUGAAGAAGUAAAUUUAACGAAGAUGGUGCAAUGUCGAAAUGUGUCCAUAAGCAGAUAAGCUCCAUGUAUAAAAUCAAAAACCAUGGGAAUAACAUAACUAAGGAACGUGAAAACAAUGUGCAAAGUCAACACCAGUGAGUAGUAGCCGUACCUCGCAAUACGUGUGAGUACCGUACUACAUGUAUGCAGAUUAUACUAGCAAUCAGCAUGCCAUCAGUUCAGUGACAAGGCCAAACCGAGAGAUUUCAUUUUCAGCGAACUUGCCUGUAAGCACGUUUAGCCGGAAAUCAUAUUAUGCAGCCAAGUGGGGGCCCGUUUUUAUAAGUAAGAACCUUGUCUACUUGUUGCUCUGGGCUAUGAAGCUUCAGGUGCUAUGGCAGCUAACAAUGAACACGGUCCCUGUGCAAAUAAAAGAACAAACGUUUACAACACUGAUGCAGUGUGCAAUUUGCAAUUUACUCUGCCAUUGGAUAUGAAGAAAACAAAUAGUUGUCUGCAUUCAGUUGCACAAAAAGUAGUCAAUAUGUCUACUGUACAUCUUCAAGUAAAUUACUCCUAGUCUUACAGGUUUGGUACGUGUGGAAAGAUGCCUCAUGCAAAUAUUGGCUGUGGGCCGAGAAGCAGGCAUGCAAGAAUGAAAGUUUUAAACUAGUUGUGACGAACAUGAAACCACUAUUACCAGUAAUAAAUGCAAUAAAAAUAUAAGUCAUGUGCAGCUCAUGAGAACAAACCAACUGAACACAUUACUCUUAGGAACAAACCAAAGUUGAAGACCAUGGCCAAACAGCUAUGUGUUCGAUACAAAAGGAAUUCCAUGUUUCUGAAAGGACAGACGAUGUGAGAAGUUGCUGGUAUCAGCCACGGAUUGUCAGAAUAUGGAGAUACUAUCUAUUCAGACUUGGAAGGAGGUUAAAGAAACCCUGGAAGGUUCUAGUCACGGUAUCAACAACUUGGAAAACUACCUUAAGAUACGAUCCUUUAGAAGAUACCCAAAUCGAGUAGUAUAAUCUCCACAUCAAGCAAGCAAACCUGUCUUCUUCUUGAUUCAUCUUCUUUCUUUAGGGAAGCCUCCAAGAAGGCAGAGUUUGCUAGAACAAGAGAAUCUGCCGUCUUAGAAGAAUCCCUGAGCCGGCGUUUUAAUGCGAGUCCGGAUGAACUUCAAAUGGGAGAAAAACUGCAAUUGAAAAUGAAAGCCAACCGCCUCUUCUUCAUCAAUGACUAGAGGUAAUCGCUCUUUAGAUUAAGUAGAGAAACAUGGCCAUUAGCAGACUAGCGGAUAGCUCAAAACAGAGAACGAAGUUGCGAAGAAAGCAUCAUGCAGAGAAGGAAAAGCUUCUAAAAAGUAUGGAUGCUAUGAGACGAGGGGCAGAGGCUACUGUGGUAGAUACAAUUUAACUCUGCCAUGGGAUAUGAAGAAAAAAGAUUGUUGUCCGCAUGCAGUUGCACAAUAAGCAGUCAAUAUGUUUACUGUUAAAAUGUAUGCCUACCCACAAUAUCUUCCAAUAAAUUACCUCUAAUCUUAGGGAUUUGAUAUAUGUGGAAAGAUGCCUCAUGCAAAUAUUGGCUGUGGGCCGAGAAGCAGGCAUGCAAGAAUGAAAGUUUUAAACUAGUUGUGACGAACAUGAAACCACUAUUACCAGUAAUAAAUGCAAUAAAAAUAUAAGUCAUGUGCAGCUCAUGAGGACAAAGCGACUGAACACUCAGGCUUAGGAACAAAUCAAAGUGGAAGACCAUGGCCAAACAGCUAUGUGUUCGAUACAAAAGGAAUUCCAUGUUUCUGAAAGGACAGAUGAUGUGAGAAGUUGCUGGUAUCAGCCACGGAUUGUCAGAAUAUGGAGAUACUAUCUAUUCAGACUUGGAAGGAGGUUAAAGAAACCCUGGAAGGUUCUAGUCAAGUACAGGACGGUAUCAACAACUUGGAAAACUACCUUAAGAUACGAUCCUUUAGAAGAUACCCAAAUUGAGUAGUAUAAUCUCCACAUCAAGCAAGCAAACCUGUCUUCUUGAUUCCUCUUCUUUUUUUAGGGAAGCCUCCAAGAAGGCAGAGUUUGCUAGAACAAGAGAAUCUGCCGUCUUAGAAGAAUCCCUGAGCCGGCGUUUUAAUGCGAGUCCGGAUGAACUUCAAAUGGGAGAAAAACUGCAAUUGAAAAUGAAAGCCAACCGCCUCUUCUUCAUCAAUGACUAGAGGUAAUCGCUCUUUAGAUUAAGUAGAGAAACAUGGCCAUUAGCAGACUAGCGGAUAGCUCAAAACAGAGAAUGAAGUUGCGAAGAAAGCAUCAUGCAGAGAAGGAAAAGCUUCUAAAAAGUAUGGAUGCUAUGAGACGAGGGGCAGAGGCUACUGUGGUAGAUACAAUUUAACUCUGCCAUGGGAUAUGAAGAAAAAAAAUUGUUGUCUGCAUGCAGUUGCACAAUAAGCAGUCAAUAUGUUUACUGUUAAAAUGUAUGCCUACCCACAAUAUCUUCCAAUAAAUUACCUCUAAUCUUAGGGAUUUGAUAUAUGUGCAAAGAUGCCUCAUGCAAAUAUUGGCUGUGGGCCGAGAAGCAGGCAUGCAAGAAUGAAAGUUUUAAACUAGUUGUGACGAACAUGAAACCACUAUUACCAGUAAUAAAUGCAAUAAAAAUAUAAGUCAUGUGCAGCUCAUGAGGACAAAGCGACUGAACACUCAGGCUUAGGAACAAAUCAAAGUGGAAGACCAUGGCCAAACAGCUAUGUGUUCGAUACAAAAGGAAUUCCAUGUUUCUGAAAGGACAGACGAUGUGAGAAGUUGCUGGUAUCAGCCACGGAUGUCAGAAUAUGGAGGUACUAUUCAGAUUUGGAAGGAGGUAAAAGAAACCAUGGAAGUUUCUAGUCCAGUACAGGACGGUAUCAAAAACUUGGAAAAAUACUUUAAGAUACGAUCUUUGGUGAUAGAAGUACAUGGCAUUUUGAGAACCAUAGUACCAACGAUCCGAAUACACACACAGAAUGGUUAUGCACUUGGAAGAUGCCUUCAUGAAAUAAAGCAGGAGGCCUCUGGUUACCCGUCAUGCUAAGACUGACGAAGAGCGACAAGCCUGUAUACAAAAAUUACACGGAGCAUGAAGGCAUUCAACUAGAUCCUUCCAGACAAAUCCUGGUCUUUGAGCCGCUUCUAAAAUUAUUAUCAAUAUACUGUGGGGUAAAUUUGCCGAACGGGAUAACCUAACCCAAAUAAAGUUCUUGACAAAUGACUUAUUGGGCUAUGUUAAUGACAAAACCAUACAUGUCAAGGACAUUUUGAUUCACAACAAAGACAUUCUUGAAAUGUAAUUCUCUAAGAGCAAAGGCUUUGUUGCUCAAAACGUGAAUGCCAAUAUCAUCAUCGCAUUGUUUUCUAACCUUAUUCUGUCCUUCAAUCGUUAGAUAACAGAGUAUUGUAUUGUGAUACCAACUCUGUGGUCUUCAAAACAGAUCAAUCCUAACACAUCAACAGGUAAUUUUCUAGGUGACCAGACAGACGCGCUUGAUGAGAAUGGGGAGGAGUACAUUAAUUCAGACUUGAUUUUACUAGCCUCUACCCGUAUAUCAAUAAAUUUUCUAAAUACCCUAUCGGACAUCCGAAAAUCUUACGAUCAGAUUUCCCUCCAAUAGAAGAGAUAUUUGGCCUUGUCAAAUGUCAUAUCAUACCUCCCAGGAGUCUAGUUCACCCCGUCUUGCUAUUCAGAUCCGAAAAAAUUGACUUUUCUCCUGUUUUGCACAUGCGCGGAGACCCUCAAUCGAGUCCCUUGUCACCAUACAGAUAGUGAAAGGGCUUUAGAAGGGGUCUGGGUGUCAGAGGAGAUAAAGAAGGCGUUAGAAAUGGGGUACACUGGUCUAAAAAUCAUUGAGGCAUGGCAUUUUGAGAAGCAUAGUAUGUACGAUCUGAUUACACGCAAAAGAGGGUUAUUCACAUCGUAUAUAGAUGCCUUCAUGAAAAUAAAACAAGAGGGGUACACUGGUCUAAACAUCAUUAAGGUAUGGCAUUUUGAGAACCAUAGUACAUAUGAUCCAAUUACAUGCACAGGAGGGCUAUUCGCAUCAUACAUAGAUGCCUUCAUGAAAAUCAAACAAGAGGCCUCUGGUUACCCGUCAUGCCAAGACAGACAAAGAAUGGCAAGAUUAUAUUACAAACAAAUGGAACAUGAAGGCAUUCAACCGGAUCCUUCCGAAGUUGAAAAAAAUCCCGGACUUUCAGUAAUUGCUAAAAUGAUUAACAAUGUACUGUGGGGUAAAUUUGCCGAACAGGAUAACCUAAUGUAACCCAAACAAAUUUCUUGACUAUCGCAAACGAUUUAUUGGGCUAUCUUAAUGAUAAAACCAUAAAUGUCAAGAUUCACAACAAAGACAUUCUUGAAAUGUUCUUCUCUAAGAGCAAAGGGUUUGUUGAUCAAAACGUAAAUGCCAAUAUCAUCAUUGCAUUGUUUUCUACACCUUGGCACAUUUGAAACUGAUUCUGUCCUUCAAUCAUUAGAAAACAGAUCAUUCCUUCCCACACAUCAAAUCUCCAACAGGUAAUUUUCUAGGUGACCGGACAGACGAGCUCGAUGAGAAUGGGGAGGAAUAUAUUAAUUCAGACAUGAUUCAGCCUCUACCUGUAUAUCAAUAAAAUUUUCUAAAUACCCUAUCGGACAUCCGAAAAUCUUACGAUCAGAUUUCCCUCCAAUAGAAGAGAUAUUCGGCCUUGUCAAAUGUCAUAUCAUACCUCCCAGGAGUCUAGUUCACCCCGUCUUGCCAUUCAGAUCCGAAAAAAAAUUGACGUUUCUCCUGUGUCACACAUGCGCGGAGACCCUCAUCGAGUCCCUUGUCACCAUACAGAUAGUGAAAGGGCUUUAGAAGGGGUCUGGGUGUCAGAGGAGAUAAAGAAGGCAUUAGAAAUGGGAUACACUGGUCUAAACAUCAUUGAGGCAUGGCAUUUUGAAAACCAUAGUACAUACGAUCCGAUUACACGCAAAGGAGGGUUAUUCGCAUAGAAUAUAGAUGCCUUCAUGAAAAUAAAACAAGAGGGGUACACUGGUCUAAACAUCAUUGAGGUAUGGCAUUUUGAGAACCAUAGUACAUAUGAUCCAAUUACAUGCACAGGAGGGCUAUUCGCAUCAUAUAUAGAUGCCUUCAUGAAAAUCAAACAAGAGGCUUCUGGUUACCCGUCAUGCCAAGACAAAGAAUGGCAAUACUAUAUUGAAAACUAAUGGAACAUGAAGGCAUUCAACUUGAUCCUUCCAAAGUUGAAAAAAAUCUCGGACUUUGAGCAAUCGCUAAAUGAUUAUCAAUGUACUGUGGGGAAAAUUUGCCGACCGGGAUAACCUAACCCAAACGAAGUUCUGGACCACCGCAAACGACUUAUUGGUCUAUCUUAAUGAUAAAACCAUUGAUGUCAAGGACAUUCUGAUUCACACCGAGGACAUUCUUGAAAUGUACUUCUCUAAAAGCGAUGGUUUUAUUGAUCAGAACGUAUAAUUGCAUCGUUUACCACUGCCAUGAAACCAGUAUUAUAUGCAUGCACUACAAAAUAUAUGUCAUGUGCAGCUCAUGAAGACAAAGCGACUGAAAACUCAGCCUUAGGAGCAAAUCAAACUGGAAGAACAUGGCCAAAUGUGUGCGAUACAAGAGGAAUUUCAUGUUUCUGAAAAGGCAGAUGAUGUAAGAAGUUGCUGGUAUCAGCCUAAGUUUGUCAGAAAAUGGUGGUACUACUCAGAUUUGGGAGGAGGUAAACAAAACCCUGAAAGUUUCUAGUCAAGUACAGGUCAGUUUCAACAACUUUGUUUUCCACCGCCUUGGCACGUUUGAAGCUGUACUCCGUCCUCCAAUUGUUAGAUGACAGAGUAUUGUACAGUGAUACGGACUCUGUUGUCUUUAAAACAGAUUCAUCUUUCUCGCACAUCAAUCCUCCAACUGGUAAUUAUCUAGGUGAUCUGACAGAUGAGAUCGACGAGACUGGGGAGGAGUACAUUCAGACGUUGGUAUGUGGUGGACCAAAAAAUUUCUCUUACAAGACAAAUAAAAAACAAGAUCACUUGUAAGGUAAGGGGAUUUACCCUUCAUGGCCUGAAUUCAUCGACAACCACCCAUGAGACACUGAAAGAACUGAUUCAAGAUGAAGGAGAAAAUAAACGUACCAUUGAUGAAUCAAAAAUAGUUCGGGAUAUCGAAACAAACGCCCUACAUAUGGUUCAAUCCAAAAGGAUGAUCGUGUAGUAUUCACAAAACGUGUUUAAAGAAUUCUGGACUGUAAUAACCUACUGUCACAUUGAUAUUCCCCAAACAUGGUUUAAAGAAUAAAAGCGACAUCACUCAGCAAGGAGGCUUCUUCAUUCCUCUCAUUUCCAAUCUCGUCGGUCCCAUCCUGGGUGCUCUUUUGAACCUUGUUACCGGCCGCAGAUAAAAAUAGAACUUGUCUACAGAUGGAACACGUUCGUAAAAUGGUUUUGGUCCACCAAGAAAUGUAAGAACUUUACAAUCUCCACAAUUGAGGCAAAAAAAAUCAUGUCAACAAACUCGAUGAACAGAUAAGAACAGUGCUUGGACGAACAAUUUAGAUCUGUAUGGUAAAGCACAACUUUUCUUUCAAAAUUUUUGAAGCUCUGUGACGAAAGCAACUGAUAGAGCAAACCUUCCCAAGUUGGAACCUUUAAGGUUCAACCUAUCAAGGCGAUCUCCAGAUGGAAAUGCACAGAUCUUUUCUAUCUCCAGACUGGAGGAUGGAUCCAAUAUCUCGACAUGUCCUUACUGUGAUGGCCGCCAUCACCUCAAAUGAUGUGCAAGGUUCAUGAUGAAACCUAUCGAAGAGUGAAAAUUAUUCUUCUUGAAGAGAAUGUGUUUUGGUUGUGCUCUUACAGAUGAACUUUGUGGUAGAGAAUGUAGAAACAAGAGAGUGUGUAGAAACUGUGGAGGUAGACACCUAACAUGUCUACAUGAAAAUAGGUUAAAGAAGACAGAAGACUAGGGAAUUCCCGAUCAAGGAGCCAACACAACAAAAAUGAAAAUUUGAUUUGAUAUUGUGUAAUUCUAUGUUUUCCACUUUCUUAAUCUCUUCUUUCCUCUUCAUCAUUUCUUUUUUCAUUAUUAAUCUAAUAAUUUCGCUAGAGUUGUCACGCGACAGCGAUGGCGAAGAAGGGGAUAUUGCUGCAGAUGAUGAAGGGAGUGAAGGGGCCAUAUUGCGCCAAGGGAGUACGAGCCACUGCCAAGAGGAGAACCAGGAGAUAAUGUUGGAGAAGCGGGACUCCCUAAUAAUCGUGAAAACAGAAUUCAUGGGAAUGUGGAAGAGUGGCGAGUUUUGUGUUUGAUGAUUCCAAUGAAAUGUUCAGCUCACAUACAUGUAGAUUCCAGGCCUAGACUUGGCAAAUCGAGUCCGAGUCUGACUUUGCUUGAGAGGGUAGCUUGAGAGUGAGACUUACAGACCUGUAGCUGUACCGACCGCCAACUUUGAUUGCUCAACCUGGCAUGGAUCUCUAUUCAUUACUUGUUUCAAAUCCUUGGGUAGCACAUUUGCUCCGGUCCUUAUAUAUCUCCAGGCGCGGAUCCAGGUGGGGGGGGGGGCUGAAAGUGCGCAACCCCCGUAGGAAUUUAAAGAGAGCCUUUUUUUUGCUAAUUAAUAUUUUGGUGGAUGAAUAAUUGACCUUAAAUUUAGGUGACCUUUUUAUUUUUGCUUGUCAAAUUUCCAAUGGAUAAAAUGUGCCAUCACUUUU